GAUGUGUAACUUCAUUUCUGGGGUAAGUCGUGAGGUGUGGAUCAUAGCAUUAUUUCUUAAGGACUAAUGAAGCGUAUGUGGUAUUUUCCCUAAAACAAUGUGAAAUAAAAUUACUUUUUUAAAGGAUCUGCACUUAUAAAUGAAAACAAGCAAACAUAACUGAAGGGGCCUUAUGAGGUGUUGGGGCAAGAGAAAAGUUUUAAAACAAUUUUACAUAUUUUAAAGCUAUGAUCCAAAAAAUUGAUCCAAAAUUUCUCCCAGCUUCCCUGCUCUCCUGUACUUCUUGAUAUUGUGAUCGUGAUGCAACUUCUGUCAUCAGGGCAGCUUCCUGGCCAUGUGACCUGUGCAGCUGCACAAGGCCCGGCUUGGUUUAAUGCUCUGCUGCCACAUGUUGAAAUUCUUAAUAAUCUUUGACCAGGGGCUCCACAUGUCCAUUUUGUACUGAGCCCCACAGAUGAAGUAGCCGGUCCUGGCUGUUGUGAGAAAUUCCAGCAGCUCCAAGCAGAGCUGGGAUCCUGGUCUCUAUCUUUAUUCUUGCUUUCUCCUUCCCAGUGGCCGGGAGUACCCUAGACAGGGUGGGUACUGUGUUCCGUUUAAACUGUCUACACUUUAGUCACUUCCUUUUCCUUUUCUGACUACUUUUAAAGUGCUGAGAGGAGAGGAAAGCUGUAUUUAACCCAAAGACUCAUUUAUUCAGCAACCAGCAACCAUUUAGAGAGUGCCUAGUGUGUGUCAAGAACUGUGCUAAGGCUGGGACCGGGAAGUGCGUGUGUGAAUUGACCAUUCCGUGCAUUGCCAUAGUGAAGGUGCGGACAGAGUGCCACGGGCCAGAGAAGAAGGUAACCACACUUCAACUGUUAACUUUCUGGCUCAGUGCUUAGUUGUGCUUGGCAACAAAUACUGCCAGAGGAAGAAGUACCUACAAAGCUAAGAAUUAUGGAUACAGCAGUGAAGUGGUCAGGAAUGGUCCCACCCUGCCCUCACCAAGCUCAUAGCCUAUUGAUUGAAGAAGCCAGACACUGAACAGGUGAUUACAAGCACAGGGUAUUAUUCACUGGAUAUGAAGAUCUGAAGUCAUUAAAAGCAACCCGGUGUUAUGUGCUCACCUCUUUAAGGUUUUGAUCCCUCCUAACCAUGUUUGUUUGGCCAUUUUUGGCUUGAAGAUUGGUUCCCUUUAUAGCAAAGAGAUUUGGAGUUAAGUGAUUUCAUUUUGUCUCUCUCUUUUAUUAAAUAUUUUCCCCCAGAUACUUGGGCCUAUAUUUUACUUUUUCAUUAUAUUCUCAGAAUAUAGUUUAAAAGCAGUUAGCUUCCCCUCCUCACCCCACCUUACCCAAGCCUCGGGUGUCACGGAUAAAAAUUGGGGGAGUUGGGGAGAAGUGCUUGUUGGGGGUUGAGGAAGUGCUGAGUAUGAAGUGAGUGAUGAUGUGGCAUCUGUGUGUGCACAGCUGGAAGUAAAGGCAGGGGGAUGAGAGGUUUGGAUUGGUUAUGGAGAUGUGAAUUUUUCCACAUGGAGAUGAGUAUAGAUUAUCUGUCCAUGGAAGUGGGAGAAAAGAGAGUCGCAUGGAAGGCCAAGAACUAAGUCAUGAAGGAUUGGCACAGUCAGAAGCGGGGAGAAGUUUCAACCAAAGAAACUGAAAUUCAUAGAAUAGGAAGAAAGCUUAGAAAUGAUCUAGCCCACCUCUCUCGUGUAACUGAUGAGGAAAUGGUUGUCCAGAUAAAAAAGAAUCAGUCAGUGGAAUAGCUACAAAUGUAUAGAGUUGUAUACGUCCUGAGAGGGUGGGAAAGUGGUUUUCAAGAAAUAGGAGAUGGUCCACAGGGCC